GGUGGUUCUCAGGUGACACACCCCAGAAUUGGGCUCCCUCCUCUCUGGUUCCGGGUGCAUCACCCAAGAACCACA
rfam:Myotis davidii contig131997, whole genome shotgun sequence.